rnacentral:rRNA from 1 species
ACGUAGGGUCCAAGCGUUGUCCGGAUUUACUGGGCGUAAAGAGCGCGUAGGCGGCUUGGUAAGUGUGGUGUGAAAUCUCCAGGGCUCAACCCGGAAACUGCACCGCAGACUGUCAGGCUUGAGGAAUGCAGAGGUAACUGGAAUUCCUGGUGUAGCGGUGAAAUGCGCAGAGAUCGGGAGGAACACCAAUGGCGAAAGCAGGUAACUGGACUAUUACUGACGCUAAGCUGCGAAAGCUAGGGGAGCAAACAGGA